GCUGUUUUGGCGUGUAUGUGAACACAUUUGGGACUAACAGGGUUGACUAGAAUCCCCACAAACUCACCACAGAGUUACCGCCAGCUAAGACGUUAGAUGAGCCGCUGCUCGCUAUGCGGCACUUGUAUAU